UCCGGUGGCUUUAGCGGAGGGGAGACACCUCUUCCCAUUCCGAACAGAGAAGUUAAGCCCUCCUGCGCCGAUGGUACUGCUGGGGAAACCUGGUGGGAGAGUAGGACGCUGCCGGGA
rnacentral:rRNA from 1 species